GACGAACGCUGGCGGCGUGCUUAACACAUGCAAGUCGAACGGAAAGGCCCUGCUUUUGUGGGGUGCUCGAGUGGCGAACGGGUGAGUAACACGUGAGUAACCUGCCCUUGACUUUGGGAUAACUUCAGGAAACUGGGGCUAAUACCGUAUAGGAGCUCCUGCUGCAUGGUGGGGGUUGGAAAGUUUCGGCGGUUGGGGAUGGACUCGCGGCUUAUCAGCUUGUUGGUGGGGUAGUGGCUUACCAAGGCUUUGACGGGUAGCCGGCCUGAGAGGGUGACCGGCCACAUGGGGACUGAGAUAGGGCCCAGACUCCUACGGGAGGCAGCAGGGGGGAAUAUUGCACAAUGGGCGGAAGCCUGAUGCAGCAACGCCGCGUGCGGGAUGACGGCCUUCGGGUUGUAAACCGCUUUCGCCUGUGACGAAGCGUGAGUGACGGUAAUGGGUAAAGAAGCACCGGCUAACUACGUG
rnacentral:rRNA from 1 species